GGCUCAGGACGAACGCUGGCGGCGUGCUUAACACAUGCAAGUCGAACGGUGAAGCGGGUGCUUGCACUCGUGGAUCAGUGGCGAACGGGUGAGUAACACGUGAGUAACCUGCCCUCCACUCUGGGAUAAGCGCUGGAAACGGCGUCUAAUACUGGAUACGACCGACCCUCGCAUGGGGUGUUGGUGGAAAGAUUUAUCGGUGGUGGAUGGACUCGCGGCCUAUCAGCUUGUUGGUGGGGUAAUGGCCUACCAAGGCGACGACGGGUAGCCGGCCUGAGAGGGCGACCGGCCACACUGGGACUGAGACACGGCCCAGACUCCUACGGGAGGCAGCAGUGGGGAAUAUUGCACAAUGGGCGAAAGCCUGAUGCAGCGACGCCGCGUGAGGGAUGACGGCCUUCGGGUUGUAAACCUCUUUCAGCAGGGAAGAAGCUUUUGUGACGGUACCUGCAGAAGAAGCACCGGCUAACUACGUGCCAGCAGCCGCGGUAAUACGUAGGGUGCGAGCGUUGUCCGGAAUUAUUGGGCGUAAAGAGCUUGUAGGCGGUUUGUCGCGUCUGCUGUGAAAAUUCAGGGCUUAACCCUGGACGUGCAGUGGGUACGGGCAGACUAGAGUGUGGUAGGGGAGACUGGAAUUCCUGGUGUAGCGGUGGAAUGCGCAGAUAUCAGGAGGAACACCGAUGGCGAAGGCAGGUCUCUGGGCCAUUACUGACGCUGAGAAGCGAAAGCAUGGGGAGCGAACAGGAUUAGAUACCCUGGUAGUCCAUGCCGUAAACGUUGGGCGCUAGGCGUGGGUCUCAUUCCACGAGAUCCGUGUCGCAGCUAACGCAUUAAGCGCCCCGCC
rnacentral:rRNA from 1 species